GAGGAAAGAGGGAGGUGUGUUUAACACUUGCAAGUCGAACGGAAAGGCUCCUGCUUGCAGGGGUACUCGAGUGGCGAACGGGUGAGUAACACGUGGGUGAUCUGCCCUGCACUUCGGGAUAAGCCUGGGAAACUGGGUCUAAUACUGGAUAGGACCACAUUUUGGAUGGUGUGGUGGAAAGUUUUUCGGUGUGGGAUGAGCUCGCGGCCUAUCAGCUUGUUGGUGGGGUAAUGGCCUACCAAGGCGUCGACGGGUAGCCGGCCUGAGAGGGUGUACGGCCACAUUGGGACUGAGAUACGGCCCAGAAUCCUACGGGAGGCAGCAGUGGGGAAUAUUGCACAAUGGGCGCAAGCCUGAUGCAGCGACGCCGCGUGGGGGAUGACGGCCUUCGGGUUGUAAACUCCUUUCGCUAGGGACGAAGCGUUUUUGUGACGGUACCUGGAGAAGAAGCACCGGCUAACUACGUG
rnacentral:rRNA from 1 species